CAGCCGCCACGGUAAUACAGAGGGUGCAAGCGUUAAUUGGAUUUACUGGGCGUAAAGCGUGCGUAGGUGGCUGUUUAAGUCGGAUGUGAAAGCCCUGGGCUUAACCUGGGAACUGCAUUCGAUACUGGAUAGCUAGAGAUCGGUAGAGGGCAGCGGAAUUCCGGGUGUAGCGGUGAAAUGCGUAGAUAUCCGGAGGAACACCGAUGGCGAAGGCAACUGCCUGGGCCUGAUCUGACACUGAGGCACGAAGGCGUGGGUAGCAAACAGGAUUAGAUACCCGCGUAGUCCCUGUCUCUUAUAC
rnacentral:rRNA from 1 species